ensembl:lncRNA
AUGCCCGCUGAAGCCGAUGCCCUGCUCACCCUCAUGAACGUGUGCACCUCUGCGGACGCCCGUCUACCCGAGCCCGGCGGAGAGACGCAUGCCAGUUUAGAUAUAGCGCAACACGAGGCCGAUAUGAAGAUGAAAGAGGCGGCCCUCACACUGCUCUCAAUGGAUCCAGAUAGCACAGUGUCCUCUGAUCUCAUUGGCCAAGAAGGACUGAAGCAGCAAGAACCAAUGGAGACGGGUGCGGCGGAUGCAGUAGAGCACGCAGCACCUGCAGAAGAAUCUCAAGAUCAAAUGGAGCAAGAGACUGAAGUUACAGCAGCUGGGUCUGAAUGCACAACCGCAGAAACGCCACAAGACGUGAUUUCAUCUCAGGGCGAGGACACCGCACUUCAUCAGACUCCAAGUGAAACUGAAACACAGGCGCCUGAUGUUGUUGCACAAGAAAAGAAAGUGCAAGAAGCUGCAAGCGCUGACAAAGAAGAAGUUGGAGAAAAAGCUACAGCAGAGAGUGAUUCGUCGACAUUGACGGCCUCUGAACACGGGCCAAGUAAGCUUGACGGUGAUAAGAAAUCCACACAAGAAGACGAGGGGAGUUCUGAAGAGCACAAGAUGGACAUCGUUACAAGUGAGACUGAAACUAACGAGGUAACGACUGCAGCCAUACAAAGUGAAUUAGAGCUAGAGCAGCCGGAUGUUCAAAAACCUGAAAGCUCAAUUCAAUGCCAAUCUGAUCUUGUCCAACAAUUAAGUAUUUUGUCCAGUGCAGACAGUCAAGACGAAAAGGACGACGAAAAGGUGGGGGAAGCUUUGGGGAGAGGAAGACGCAAGCGAAAGUUGUCUCGUAAAGCUUCAGAAGCUGGUGAUGGGAAAGGAAAGGAAAGCCAAGACGAGGAAAAUGUGGUCAAAACCCCACAGAGGGGACGCUCAACAAGGACGGAAGAGGCAGAGAAAGUAGAGGAGACACAGACCUGCAGAGAACCACACUCUGCAAAAGAGGCCAUGGACGAUAAAACCGAAGCUCAGGACAAGGACAAUGUGGAACAAUCUACAUUGGAUGAAAAAGAGGACGAGAAGCAGAGUGAAGAUGAAAAUGCAAAGUCCGGUCACACUGGCACAGUUGGCGCUUCUCCAGAUCACAGCGAAAGUGCUGAAACCUGCAAAGGAGCCGCUGAUAUUGAUACCGCUAAACCUUCAGCAAAGAGGGAUUUCUCUGAAGAAACGACAGAGGAAGCCACCUUUGAAGACGACAUUAAAGAUGAUACAAAGCAAGACACCACACAAAAAAUAAUUCAUUCCCCUUCAGGCAGCCAGAUAGAGGAUCAAGCAGAGACUCCACAUGAGAACACUGAAAAGCAGGAAGACACUGAGGACGAACAACUGCACGAGGGUCAAGACGCAACCCCCACGAGAGCGGGACGGAGAGGAAGACCGCCUAAAGUAACCGCUUCAGCUGAGGAUUCAGGCACGAAAGCAGAGGACACGGGUGCAAACUUUUUCUUUAUCACCUAAAGACACAUCAAAUGAAAUCUAUAAAAAAAUAAUCGAUAUGAAAAAGCAUUGUUACGAAGACAAAGAAAACCGCAUACAUUUACACAUUAAGUGAGCGCAUGCUUCAGGUCAGGGGCUAUAAUCAAUGGUAUCAAAAGUAAUAAGAAAGAUGUUAAGCCUCUCUAAUAUAUUACCCACUAUUACCAUUAUUAUUUAAUAUUUAUGCUAAACAAACCUAUGUUUAAUAAACAUACAGUGGGGAAAAAAAGUAUUUAUUCAGCCAACAAUUGUGCAAGUUUUCCCACUUAAAAAGAUGAGAGAGGCCUGUAAUUUUCAUCAUAGGU